rnacentral:rRNA from 1 species
AAACAUAUAAACAAGAGUUUGAUCCUGGCUCAGAAUGAACGUUAGUGGUUAGCUUAACACAUGCAAGUUAGAUGGGUUUAAUAUUUUAAACCAAAUAGCGAACGGGUGAGUAACGCGUAGAAAUUAACCUUAAAGUCUAUUAGUAAAUCUUUUAAAAAUUUAUUUGCUUUGAGAAGAGUCUACGUAAGAUUAAGUAGUUGGUAGAAUAAAAGUUUACCAAGCUUACGAUCUUUAGUUGGUCUGUGAGGAUGAACAACCACAUUGGAACUGAGAAACGGUCCAAACUCAAUUAAGGAGGCAGCAGUGAGGAAUUUUGGGCGAUGAGCGAAAGCUUGACCCAGCUAAACCACGUGUGUGACGAAGAUAUUUAAUUGUAAAGCACUUUAUUUAAAACAUAAUAAUGAUAGUUUUUUAAAAAAGUCCUGGCUAAUUUCGUGCCAGCAGCCGCGGUAAAACGAAAAGGGCAAACGUUAUUCAGAUUAAUUGGGCGUAAAGAAUACGUAGGUGGAAAAUUAACUAACAACCUAAAAAUUAAAUUUCAUUUUUAAAAAGGUUAUUAAAGUAAUUUUCUUGAGUUCAGGGGAGGAAUAUGGAAUUUUGAGUGUAACGGUAAAAUGUUUUGAUAUUCAAAGGAACUUCAACAGCGUAGGCAAUAUUCUAAACUGACACUGACACUGAGGUAUUAAAGCGUGGGUAGCAAAGGGGAUUAGAUACCCCCGUAGUCCACGCCUUCAACGAUGAGUGUUUAUUUUUGGAUUUAUUUCAGAAAUAUAGUUAACGUAUUUAACACUCCGCCUGGGAACUACGAUCGCAAGAUUAAAACUCAAAGGAAUUGACGGGGACCUGCACAAGCAGUGGAGCAUGUGGUUUAAAUCGACAAUACGCGCGAAACCUUACCAAUUUUUGUAUAAUACAAUAAAAGUAUUACAGGUGUUGCAUGGCUGUCGUCAGUCCGUGCCGUGAGGCGUUUGGUUCAUUCCAACAAACGGACGAAACUCCUAUGUAUUUGUAACGUAAUACAAACUGCCAAGGAUAUCUUGGAGGAAGGAAGGAAUGACGUCAAGUCCGCAUGACCCUAAUGAAUUGGGCUACUUUCAUGUGCUACAAUAGUAUUUCCAAAAAGAAGCAAAAACGUGAGUUUAAGCAAAUCUUUAAAAAUUACUUUGUUCGGAUUGUUUUCUGCAACUCGAAAACAUGAAGUUGGAAUUGCUAGUAAUCGUAGAUUAGAAUGCUACGGUGAAUUUGUUCUCAGGUCUUGUACACACCGCCCGUCACGCUAUGGGAAUUCUUUUCAUUUGAAGAUUUUUAACAAAAUUUAUGGUGAAUGAAAGACUGAAGUGAAGUCGUAACAAGGUAGCCGUAGGGGAACCUGUGGCUGGAAAAUACAAAUAAAUUUUCUACUA